CCCUCUAGCCAUCCAUACUGCAGCCUGUCCAAGCCAUAUUCAUUGGCCUUGUCCUGGCUCUGCUGUACUGGUGUUUCGGCCAGUUGUGGUAGAAAGAGCGGCUGGAGCCCCUGGAUGCCGGUCAUCGCAGUCAUGGUUGCCGUGACGGCAGCCGUCCUCUACCCCAGCCUCUCCAAAAGCAGCUCCACCUAGGACACACACACACACACACACACACACACACACACACACACACACACACAGAGAGCGCUGUGAGGAGAGCAUCACUGCUUUACUUGUAUAAAGUCUAAUUGUACAUAAUUGUAGAGGGAAUAUAAAGGUUGUGGUUUCUACAGAGGAUUCAGAAGCUCCUUGGUUUUAUUUUGUUUUUGUGUUGUUGGUUUUUUUUCUUGCAGCGAGGAGUUCUGUUGUCGUUUUUAUUCUCGGCUCUCUCUCGGCUGUGGUGGGGCUUUUUCUUUUUUUGGGAGGGUUUUCCGUCUCUUUGUUGGUUUUCUGGGUUAACAAGGCGCUCUCCAGCAGGCCGAGCUGAAACGAGAGGGAAGCGACGCAACACUUCCCAGCAGCCUCGUCCAGUCAGGGGAACAAGGAUUCACACCCUUCAGUUCUGCGUUUGCUAGAAGGAGCAUCUGCGCUCUUCUUCAUGGAUUUCAUUGGCUACUGGAGUCUGUUAGUAGGCGGUGUUCAACUGUUGCUGCGUCAGAGCUGGUUUUACUUGAUUGGACGGACCGGGCUGCAGCGUCCCGUCGGUCGGAGAGUUCUUAGCAGGACUGACAGGUUCAGGUGUGUAGGAUCUUUAUUGAGGAGAGACCUACAACGUGCUCAUCUGCCUUUAAAACACCCUCGGGUUCAGCUUUAGUUUAACUCAUUAUAUUCUUUAAAACACCUCACUGCGAUUUGACAUCGUCAGCACAAGUCAUCUGUCUAAAUGUCGGACUUGUUGCAGAUUUCACCUGCAGAUAUUUGGUGCCAGUGUACCCUUAAUCUUUAAAUUGGACUGCUUUGAUCCCAGAAAGAUCAGAACAAAUACCUUUCUUUUUUUUGUCAGGGUAGAAAAUUGUUUCAAUAAAUAUUGAAUUACUAAUUUGGCAAAGCAGUUUAUAAUCACAUUAACUGCUAUUCGUUGGUGCAGCGCUAAAGCUUCUUAUCUUGAGUUUCUGUUUAGACAGGCCGUCUGUCAAAAUGAAGUUUUAAUAAGUUUAAUAUUCCAGCUGAUGUUCAGCCCGCCGCCCGUGUUUGCCUCCCUGUUCACGCAGAGUACGACCACGCAGUAAAUCUGCAUCGCAUCAGACGGAUCUGAGUUCAAUAAAACAAGACUCCCAGCUCCAGAUGUCAGUAAAACAAUAGAGUAAAUCCACAUCAGUGACAACUCCUUCGUAGUAAAUGUACAUCGGCGCUGUGAGAUUAAGACAACGAGUCUGUUGAUCUGGAUCAGAAUGUAGGUUUCUGUCCUAUACCUGAUCCGGUCCGUCGGUCUGCUGCGAAGUGUUGCCGUUGUUUCAGGAAGCUCUGCUCUGUUGUGGUUCUUGUCGGCCAUGUUGGAUGUGUAACGUGGUGUUUUUCUGGUCCUGUUUUUUCCUCCAGGGGAGUUUGUUGUUUGGGGUUGAAACUUGAAGCCAAAUUUUUAAAAUGAAAAUCUGAUUUAUUUUCUUUGUUUGUUUUUUUUUUUCUUAAUUUUUCGGGGCACAGAAAACGGGGUCAAAGUGCCUCUGAUGUAACUAACACCACAGUUUGUGUAUAUGUGUGGACAAACACACACACAUAACCACACACACACACACACACACACACACACACACACGCUUUCUCUGAGAAACGCACUUAAACACAAACACACACAGACACACACGGUUUCUUGGACUGCCAGAGGUCUGUAGGUACGGAGAGAAGCUGUAGCCUACGUGGGGAAUCCGCAGUGUCUUACCGGCUUUUUAUGGAGUUUCGGUUGCUACUCGCGGCCUUCUUUAAGCAGAAGAUUUCCCUUCAUCACCAUGACAACUGAGCUUAAUUUACCCGCUCACGAAGUCUGAGAUUGUGGCUUAAAUCUCCUCAAAUUGCCAGUAGGUGGACCUUGAUUUGAGAUUGUUUUUGUCAAAUUAUUACUGUGGCUUCUCAAC